CCUACGGGUGGCUGCAGUAGGGAAUUUUCGUCAAUGGGCGCAAGCCUGAACGAGCAAUGCCGCGUGAACGAGGAAGGUCUUCGGAUCGUAAAGUUCUGUUGAAGGGGAAAAAGAGCGGAGAGAGGAAAUGCUUUCUGAUUGAUAUUACUCUUCGAGGAAGUCCCGGCUAAUUACGUGCCAGCAGCCGCGGUAAUACGUAGGUGGCGAGCGUUAUCGGGAAUGAUGGGGCGAAAGGGGUGCGUAGGCGGCCUGCUAAGUCUGGAGGGAAAGGUACUGGCGCAACCGGUACAGGCUCUUGAAACUGGCGGGCUAGAGAGCAGGAGAGGGCAGUGGAACUCCAUGUGUAGCGGUAAAAUGCGUAGAUAUAUGGAAGAACACCAGUGGCGAAGGCGGCCGACUGGACUGUUACUGACGCUGAGGCACGAAAGCGUGGGGAGCAAAUAGGAUUAGAUACCCUAGUAGUC
rnacentral:rRNA from 1 species